UACUGCAUGUUGGAAGCCAGGGCCCUGUCUUACAAUGAGGAUGAGAGAAAACAAGCUGAGAAAAGGCAUGCUACGGCCACAGGGGCUGUUUUGUAUAGGGACAGGGAGAGGACUUAAACACAGGAAGUUUAAGUCCCUUCCAUCAUGCUAAUCCUGGGCCCUUCUUCAGAUACCUGACCGUGCCACCUCAUGUCCUUGGCCAAGCUGCCCAAACCCUCAUGCCUCAGCCUCCUUGUCCAUAUCACUCUGUCCUCUGGCAGGCGUUGUGUGUGCAGGCACGGAUUUAAGCAGCUCAGUGUCCUCCAUUCAUCCCUGUCUCUUGCUCUCCCGCUGCGGUGCUGACAACUCAUAUAUUCCCGGCAUUGCACUGUGGUUUCUCUCUGGCUUUGGGAGCCCAUGUGCCAAAUACUGCUGAUCAGCCUGCUGACCAGCUGCAUCUGGUGCAUCCAAAGCCAGCCAGAAGCUGUGGAGCGUAUGCUCCUCUGUGAUGGCUGCCUGGUGCUGAUCACAGAACAUGGGUCAGGCUGGUGGUGCAGGGAUCAGGCAGAGACCAGCUCUGUCACCCACAUCCAGUUCUGUGCUCAGUGAGCAAGCUGCCAGCCCCUGACACCGAUGUGGGGAUCAGCUCUGAAACUGAGGGGCUUAUGCUGCUCUCUGUCCACCUGCAGCACAGCAAAGACUUUCUAAAAUGGGAGCGUAUAUCUAGACCCUCCUUAACAGUCUUCUGCUCUGUCCUGAACAUGGUGUGACCAACUGGGGAGUUGCUCUGGGAAGCAUGAACUGGGUGUAUCCAUGUCAUAUUACAAAUCCCAGGUUAAGCAUAGACCUUCUUUGCCUUCUCUCUCUGCCUUUUGCCUCUGUGCUAAUCUGAACUCCAUAGCAAGCAGCAAAAGAAAUUCCUGCACCUGGCCCAGAGUCCACAGUAAUGGUAGUGACAUUUGGAUGAUCAUACACUGGGGCAGAGCAUGCUUGGGCAAAGGAGUGGCCUCCUAACUUGUUUUCCCAGCCUGAGCUGGUGGUAAUUAAGCAACAGAUGAUGUGACUGGGAUUUUGAUCACCUAUUAAUGCUAAUCAGGUAGGUCAGCCGAAACAGAGGGUGUGAUAUUUCAAAAGAGGCCCUUCAAGGACCCCUUUCAGGAAAGGGGGUUUGGAGCUGGGGUUAUACUGGGUGGUUUAGCAUGAGGCUUGGAUAUGUGUAGUGGAGGAACAGGUUUCUAACCUGUGGAAGAUUGUUGUUAGUUUCAGAAAUGUCUCAGGGUCUUAAAGGAAUGGCAGCAGGGUUUUGCUUUGUAUUGGUUGCUUUUUUUACUCUGUUGCAGAGCUGAUGCUCACAAGCAUCAACACCUUCCAAGCACAAGCCAAAACUCCUGGGGAAGUGGAGCCAAGGGAAGAGCAGAGCUCUCUCCCUCUUCAAGCAUGCACUGGGCAAUGGAGCCAGAGAGUGUUAGGGCACGAGUGGUGCCCUGGAGGUGCAAGAGCAGCAGGCAAGAACAGAGCCCAAAGGAGAACCCUGAAAAAGGGCUGUGCUUAAUGCUACAGAGGACAAUCAGUAACCCCCUAGAGCUACCCUGGGAGUCAUGAAAGCUUCCUUCUCUCAGAUGCGGGGUGCAAGGGCCACCUUCCCUCUGCCAAAUUCUAGCUUCUGUUUUUCUUGCUUCCCACUGGAGUUAGAAGGAGAUUGUGAUGCCUCCUAAGAGCCUGCGCCUUCCCUGACUCCUGUCCACACUCACUGCUUGACACCCCCUCUCCUCCCUGAGGUGACCAACAAGAAGGGUGCCACACUUGAAAAGCAGAAGCAGACAUCUCCAAGAGCUCAUGGGACAUAUACUUUGAAAUGGUAGGGAAGGUCAUGGCAGCUGAAGACUACUGAGAUCAGCAGGUGGGCAAUGGAGUUGCCUGGCAGUGUGAUCACUGUCCUGAAAGGACUUCCUUGAGCAAGAAAGUAUACAGGGAAGCAAAUGAUGUCAAAAAGCAGUUACAGCUGAAUGAUCAUGUACUGUGAUAAAGCCAGGACCUUAACUUUGCCAUGGAGAGGACUGUGCAGGGACCAGGGAGCUAGGACCCCCAUAGGGCAAGACUGGGAAGAGACUUUGAGACCUCUCUGUGAAGUCACUUGAAGGCACAGAGAACAGAGCUUGCUUUGUAGGGGACAGGACAGGGUGUGAACAGAGCAGCGGACUGGACAAGCUGGGUGUCUAGUUUAUGUGUAUUGUUAACCUUUUUUGUCCCUAUACUCUGCUGGAAGCAUGAUGCAAGAUCAGACUCAGUAGUCCACACCAGGGAGUAAGAGCUCUGGAAAGGUCCCGUUAUCUUCCCCCACUUCUUGCUGUGCCAGUGCCAAAGCUCGUUCAGACACAGAAAUCUUCAGGAUCAGCCUGAACACUGCUUUUGGUUUGGGGAUUUUUGAAUUUUCUUUUUUGCCAGGUGACCUCAGUCCCAUUUGUUAUCUCCAUUUCUCCCCCACUCUUCUCAUUAUGGCAUACAACCUGUGUGUGUUGAAAGGCCGUAUGAACAAUUUAAGAAGAGCUUUCUCUGAAAUUUCACCCUAUCCUGGUAAACCACGAACAGCUGUCCCUUGGAUUUCCAUUCUUCUUUACUUUAACCCAUGGCCUGUAUACCCUUCACCAUCUGCAGUGGGAGUGAGGAAUAGUUCAGAAGGGAACCUUAAUUCAUAGGGGGAGCUGCCUUUUCCUUUUUUUUUCGUUUUCCUUCUCUUUUUUGCUUAGUUACUUCAUAAACUUUAGUUCCAGUUACCACUUAACUCUCAGCGGCAUUUCCAUAUCGCAGAGUUGUUGUUUCAUUCCAGGUUUUCAACAACUGAAAUAUAUCAUGGGAUUUUGUUGUAAUGCAGGAAAUUGCCUUCACAUUAACAAUCUGCCACUUCUGUAAACAAGAAAUCCACUGAUGUGACAUGUCAGCGCUCAACAGGAGGAGAACUGACUACCUUAGCAAAACGAUGCAUUCCUCAACGAAAACCCGGGUGUUGGGACAUGUAAUGACACGAUUGCCUUCACUUAUUUUUAGGGCAGGGGCUAGGUACCUGCUCAGAACAGUUGAAGGCAGAGGACGUGCACUGGACUCUCUCCAAGCCUGCUCUUUAUGUGCACUUUGCUCCCAAAGUUCCCCAAGGUCAUGGGGUUGCAUGUGGAGAUUUUUUUUUUCCCUUCCUUUAAUAGCAUAUUGAUGUGUACCAUAGUUGAUAAUAUAGCUUUUUUAGCCAAGCUCAGUUGUCUCUCACAUAGGCUGCUUAUUCUCUCCUGCUAGCACGGCUGCUUUGACUGUGUAAUGACAGCUGUGUGGAUAUAUGGACUGUGGCAAUGGGCUGCCAGCCACUUCAUUGUCAGCUCCUCUUUGUUCUCCCAGAAAAGAGGAGGCACAAUAGGGAAGGUUUCAUCCACAUGUCAGACAUAUGAGGGACAAAGGGAUGAUGGGAACUGACUGAACUACAUGAUCCAAGGCAAGCCAAGCAGCAUGCUUUUUCAGCUCCGUUUAGCAAUGGUGUGGUGGCCAGCCCUCGUGCAAUUGUAAUCAGCCAAUGAGCAAUUAAGCUCUGGGAAGGCCUCUAUGCUACCUUAGACCCUGCAGAAGGCCAUUUCACAUGGUCGGUCUUAGGGGACAUAUUAACCCUUUGCCCCUGAGCCACCUCUCGAGAUGGUGGUGGAUGUUCAGCAUGGGAGAAAGGCAGGAUUUGCUGAAGAGGUGGGACCUUUCCUCAGGACAGCUUGGCCCUCUUGGGAGGAAGCAGCAGUUCUCUGGCACACGCAAGUCUAAUCAGGUCUAAAGCAGGGAAGAAGCACACACCAAAGUGAAAUCUAGGUUGAGAAGAAUUGCUCUGGGAUUAACUGGAAAUGUUAAUCAGAUAAACUUCCUGAGAGAAAAUAUGGUUGGCACCUGUGGAGCAGAGGGGAUGCCAGUUAAGAGAGUAGUGGUAAGGUGGCUUUUCAAAUGGGAAGAGGGAAGAAGUAAUUUAAAGCCUGUGACACAGAUUAGUGGGAUGACAAAAAUUAUGAUCGCAUAAAAGUCAGUAUUUCUAUUGAGUCUGAACUUUUAAACAUUUGGUAGACAUAAGCCCCAUUGAAGGGUCCUUGUUUGAAAGUGUUAUACUUCAUCUAUUGCACAGUAUUUCCUGAGAGCUUUCACCGACUACAGCCAAAUAUGGGCCAUCUUAAGAGAAUCCCUUUCAGACCAUCUCCCCAGCCCAAUUUACAUGAGGUUUUCAUGGGAUGCUUCUGUCUAAAGAAGCUAAGGUCACAAGAGGUGAGAGGGAAAGACAAGAGAGGAUGGUAAAUUUAUGUGGGUUGGAUUUUUCAGCAGUCUCAUUUUUACUGCACUAUCUUGGCAUAAUUGUAAACCCUCAGGAAAGAUGGAUAUUAAAUCUAUAGAGAAUAUGACUGAUACAAUUUAGCAUAAUGAUUUUCAUCAGAAAGUACCUGUUGGUCAACUGGAACUUUUUGGAUGAAAGAGGUAAUAGAGAGGUGGUGGUUGUUCUUUUUUUUUUGUAAAGGAAGAAGAGAAAGUGUAGUUACAGUUGUUAAACUGAUGUGACAAGUGUGGUUUUGCAACUGAAUGCACAGCAAGUACCAGUGCAACUCUUCAUAAUUAGGCAUAUUUACAUUUUUGUCUGAAUCAAACACAAUCCAGAAUAUCCUAUCAAGAUUUUUAAUGCUAUCCUUAUUUGGAUCAGGAAACAUUUUGACAAUGUGAAAAAUCUCUGCAAACAGAUGUUAAAAAUACUGUGUCAGGAGCAUUGGUUUCCCAUGUCCCCAGACCAUGAGCUCUACCUAAGGUGGCAUCACAAUGUUAUGGAAUCCAUAUUCAGCUUUUAAAGAAGGCAAUGGUUUUAUUAAUCUUGGGCAAGGGGGGUUCAAAAAAGAUGUUGGUUCUACUUAGCUUUGAGAGGUUGGGGAAUUGUCACACAAUUGAGUACUUCAGCCUUUUGAAAUAAAAUUCUCUAGGAGCUGUGCUGUUAGGUAUAAUGCAGCCAAAGAAAAGGACAUAAAUAUAGUAAUAAUCAUUAAUAAUCAUACUACGUUACUA